AUUUAUAUAGUUUAUUUAAAACAUUACCUUUUCAAGGUAAAAAUAUAUAACUUAUAUUAUAAAUA
rnacentral:tRNA from 1 species